CAGUCGCCGCGGUAAAACGUAGGGUCCGAGCGUUGUCCGGAAUUAUUGGGCGUAAAGGGCUCGUAGGCGGUUUGUUGCGUCGGGAGUGAAAACCCAGGGCUUAACUUUGGGCUUGCUUUCGAUACGGGCAGACUUGAGGCAUUGAGGGGAGAACGGAAUUCCUGGUGUAGCGGUGAAAUGCGCAGAUAUCAGGAGGAACACCGGUGGCGAAGGCGGUUCUCUGGCAAUGUUCUGACGCUGAGGAGCGAAAGUGUGGGGAGCGAACAGGAUUAGAUACCCCUGUAGUCCCUGUCUCUUAUAA
rnacentral:rRNA from 1 species